GUCCACGCUGUAAACGAUGAACACUAGAUAUUGGAGGAUUUGACCCCUUCAGUGUCGUAGCUAACGCGUUAAGUGUUCCGCCUGGGAAGUACGGUCGCAAGACUAAAACUCAAAGGAAUUGACGGGGCCCGCACAAGCGGUGGAUUAUGUGGUUUAAUUCGAAGCAACGCGCAGAACCUUACCUAGGCUUGAAAUCCCACGAACCUGGCUUAAAACGCUGGGGUGCUCUUCGGAGAAUGUGGUGACAGGCGCUGCAUGGCUGUCGU
rnacentral:rRNA from 1 species